CCUACGGGAGGCAGCAGUGAGGAAUAUUGGUCAAUGGGCGCGAGCCUGAACCAGCCAAGUAGCGUGAAGGAUGACUGUCCUACGGGUUGUAAACUUCUUUUAUCAAGGAAUAAAGUGAGGCACGAGUGCCUUUUUGUAUGUACUUGAUGAAUAAGGAUCGGCUAACUCCGUGCCAGCAGCCGCGGUAAUACGGAGGAUCCGAGCGUUAUCCGGAUUUAUUGGGUUUAAAGGGAGCGUAGAUGGGUUGUUAAGUCAGUUGUGAAAGUUUGCGGCUCAACCGUAGAAUUGCAAUUGAUACUGGCAGUCUUGAGUACGGGUGAGGUAGGCGGAAUUCGUGGUGUAGCGGUGAAAUGCUUAGAUAUCACGAAGAACUCCGAUUGCGAAGGCAGCAUACUAAACUGCCACUGACAUUGAUGCUCGAAAGUGUGGGUAUCGAACAGGAUUAGAUACCCGGGUAGUC
rnacentral:rRNA from 1 species